GACGAGCCGUGCGAACGUUAUUCGGAAUCACUGGGCUUAAAGCGCGUGUAGGCGGGACGGCACGUCGGUCGCUGAAAGCCCCCGGCUCAACCGGGGAAGUGGCGCCGAUACGACCGACCUGGAGGGACGUAGGGGGACCUGGAACUUCCGGUGGAGCGGUGAAAUGCGUUGAGAUCGGAAGGAACGCCCGUGGCGAAAGCGAGGUCCUGGACGUUUACUGACGCUGAGACGCGAAAGCCAGGGGAGCGAACGGG
rnacentral:rRNA from 1 species